rnacentral:rRNA from 1 species
ACGAGUUAUCUGAACCUUCGGGGAACGAUAACGGCGUCGAGCGGCGGACGGGUGAGUAAUGCCUAGGAAAUUGCCCUGAUGUGGGGGAUAACCAUUGGAAACGAUGGCUAAUACCGCAUGAUGCCUACGGGCCAAAGAGGGGGACCUUCGGGCCUCUCGCGUCAGGAUAUGCCUAGGUGGGAUUAGCUAGUUGGUGAGGUAAGGGCUCACCAAGGCGACGAUCCCUAGCUGGUCUGAGAGGAUGAUCAGCCACACUGGAACUGAGACACGGUCCAGACUCCUACGGGAGGCAGCAGUGGGGAAUAUUGCACAAUGGGCGCAAGCCUGAUGCAGCCAUGCCGCGUGUGUGAAGAAAGCCUUCGGGUUGUAAAGUACUUUCAGUCGUGAGGAAGGCGGCGUCGUUAAUAGCUGCAUCGUUUGACGUUAGCGACAGAAGAAGCACCGGCUAACUCCGUGCCAGCAGCCGCGGUAAUACGGAGGGUGCGAGCGUUAAUCGGAAUUACUGGGCGUAAAGCGCAUGC